AAGGAUGAACAAGAAAUUUUAUUAUGCAGUUUUAUAAAAAGAUUGGUGAUAAGUGUUAAAUCUGCAAAGGUAUAUUGAUGUGUAAUUAUCUAUAACUUAACAGUGAGACUGAGGAUUAUAUAAAAACGGAAUACAACAAUAUUCAAAAAAUAUCAGCAAGCCAAAAUCAGUAAUACAUAAAAAGAAUCAUAUACCAUGAUCAAGUUGGACUUAAUUCUAGAUGUACAGGCAGAGUUCAAUAUCCACAUAUCAAUCAGCAUGAUCCAUUACAUUAACAAAAUGGAUAAGAAAUUAUAUAAUUAUCUCAUAUUUUUUAAAAAAAGCAUUUGAAAAAGUCAAGAUCCUUUUAUGAGAAAAUAGUUCACCAAAAGGUGCAUAGAGGUUACAUACUUCAACAGAAAAAGGUCAUAUAUGAUAUGACAAACUUACAGUUAACAUCAUACUCAAUGGAAAACAACCAACCAACCAAAACAUCUGACAGCUUUUCCUCUAAGAUCAGGUACAAGAAAAGGAUGUUCGCACUUUGACACUUUUAUUCAACAUGAUGUUGGAAGUCCUCAUCACAGCAAUCAGACGUGAAGAAGAAAUAAAAGCCAUCCAACUUGGAAAGGAAGAAGUAAAACUGUCACUCUUUGCAGAUGACAUGAUACUAUAUAUAGAAAACCCUAAAGACUACCCCCCAAAAUGACUAAACUAAUAAAUGAAUUCAGUAAAGUUUCAGGACACAAAAUCUGUUGCAUUUCUGUAUACUAAUUGCAAACUCUCAGACAGAGAAAUUAAGAAAACAGUGCCAUUUAGCAUUGCUUCAAAACAAUAAAAUGAGGAGUACUGUCACUCUUUGCAUGGAAACGAAUCUGACUAAUAACCAUGAGAUUGCAGGUUUGAUCCCUGGCCUUGCUCAAUGGGUUAGGGAUCUGGCAUUGCUGUGAGCUGUGGUGUAGGUCACAGACGUGACAUAUCCCAUGUUACUGUGGCUGUGAUGUAGUCUGGCAUGUGUAGCUCCAAUUCGACCCCCUGGCCUGGGAACCUCCAUACACUGCAAUGCGGGCCUAAAAAAGCAAAAUAAAUAAAUAAAUAAACAAUAAUAAUAAUAAUAAAAUGAUAAAUUUUACCAAGGAAGUAAAAGAUAAAAGACCUGUACUCUAAAACUAUAAGACAUUGAACGCAAAUAAAUGGAAACAUGUUACCAUGUUCUUGAUUGGACAAAACAAUAUUGUUAAAAUUUCCAUACUACCAAAAGCAAUAUACAAAUUCAAUGCAAUCUGUAUAAAAUAGUCAUGGCAUAUUUCACAAAAUUAAAACACAUAAUCCUAACAUUUAUAUGGAACCACAAAAGAACUUGAAUAGCCAAAGCAAUCUUGAGAAAGAAGGAUGAAACUAGAGGUAUCAUGCUCCUGGAAAUCAAACUACACUACAAAUCUACAGUAAUCAAAACUAUGAUAGGGAGUUCCCUAGUGUCUCAGUAGGUUAAAAGUCUGGCAUUGUCACCACUGUAGCUCAGGUCACCACUGUGGCCCAAGUUUGAUCCACACUCCAGAGACUUCUGCAUGCCAUGGAAGUGGCAAAAACAAACAAACAAACAAAAAACCUGUAUGGUACUAACACAGACAAAACAGGCACAUGGGUCAAUGGAAUAGGAUAGAGUGCCCAGGAAGAAACAGCCUUAUAUACAAUGGGGAAAAGACAUUCUUUUCAAUAAAUUGUGUUAAGAAGCCUGGACAGCUACAAGCGAAAGAGUGAAACUAGACCACUUUUUUCCACUACAUACCAAAAUAAACUGAAAAUGGAUUAAUGACUUAAAUGCAAUAUCCCAAAUCGUAAAACUUUGUGAAAAAAAAGCAUAAACAGUGAGCUUUUUGACAAACCACAAACCUACUUUAGACAUACAUUUAUUGAACAACUACUAAUUUUUUUUUCAUGUUUUAUCAGGAACAAACAAGAAUGUAAUCAAUUUAUCAAGUAGACUACAAACCACACUCAUCUGAAUCUAGUGUUUAUAAUUUUCCAUCUAAUUUCAGAUGACCCAACUUCCACCACUUCACAAUAACCCUUAAUCUGCCACAAUUCUAAUGCCCACUUCUGCAAGUAAUCUUCAAGUGUUUUUCAAGUUAAAGUAACAUAUUUACUAUGGUUUGUAUUUUUAAGCAUAUGGCAUAUGUAAACUUAUGCUACUAUUUUCCACUAUAUUUUUAUAUAACGCUGAUGAUUUUUUGAGUGUUUUCUUCCCAGUCCCCAUUUUGCCCAUACCUCUUUGGUUUUUACUGAGUGAUUAUUUCACAGAAAAGAGAUUUCUAGAAAUAAUCAUGUGUUUUAUAUCUUAAAAUACUUUACAGGAAAUAGUUAAAUUUUACCUAUUUUUUCUGUAUACUGAUGCAGUUCUAAUUAAAUCAGGAGAAUUUGUGUGCACAUAUAAGCCUGUGUGUGUGCGUGUGUGUGUGUAAAUUGGCAACUGUUAUAAAUUUAUAUAAAAAUGCAAAGAUUCAGGGCCAUGUUGAAGAAGAAAAAAAAUUAGGGAGGCCAUUGUGCCUGGAAUCAAGACUUGUUAUAAAUCCAUAGUGUUUCAAAGAAAGAAAUUAUAUUCUAGAGGUAGACCAAAAGGCCAGUAUAUUAGAAUAUAGAACCAAGAAAUAGAUCCACACACAUACUAAUAUUUGACAUAUGAGAGAUGUGGGGUUUUUUUGGAUUAAUGGAAAUGACCAUGAAUUUCAAUAAUUGUUAGGAAAUUAAGUAUCCAUUUGGGAUAAAAAUAAAAUUUACCUCUAUCUCACACUAUUUACAAAAGUAGUUCCUUGAUGAUGAAAGUUUGAAGGUUAACAAAUUUAUAAAGACUUUAAGGAUAACUUAGUAAAAUAUCUUUCUAUUCUCAGACACAAAAUAUGUUCUUAAAAUAUUAAAGUACUAACCAUAUUUAAAUAGCACAUUCAACUAUACUUAAGAAGUUUUGCUUGUUAAAAAACACUUGAGGAGUUCGCUGAUGCCCCAGUGGGUAAGGGUCCAGUGUUGUCACUGUGGUUGCUGCUGUAGUUCAGGUUCAAACCCUUGGCCGGGAACUUCCAUAUGCUGCAAGUGCAGCCAAAAAAGAAAAAAUGUUAGAAGCUUUUAAACAGAUAUUACAUCAAAAGUUAUAUUUAUAUAGUUGAAAUAUUAAUGGGAACUCAAUUUUUUUCAGUAAUCAUGGAAAGAACAACUGAAAUAACAAUGAAAUAUAAUCUUCAGUGAAUUUAUUGGAAAAAUUAAGAAUCUGGUCCAUUCCAAUUAACGGUGAGAAUUUUAAGUUCCGCGAGCUCUUACACAUUACUGGUUGGAAAUUACAUUGUUUCAAAUGAUUUAAUGUACAGCUUUUCAUGGCUUUGCAAAUUUGAAGAUAGUCACACUUUUGACACAAUAUUUCAAUUAUCAGUAAUAUAGCCUCGAGAAACCUUUACAUAUAAAUCUUUAGCAUGUAUCUUCAACAGAUUUAUAAGGAAAGCCAAUGAUCUAACUCUUAGCAUGGUUAAAUAUGAGGUUUGCAUAAAAGUAUUAUUUAAUUUUAACAUUUUGAAUAUAUUAUCCAUUUUAUAUGAUGCAUUUUAUGCCUUUAAAAUUGUAUCAUAGAGCAUCAUACAUAUGAUAUAUUUUAUCAUUUCAAAAUGUUAGGGGAAAUGAUGGAUUCUAAUUUAAUACCAAAUUAUACUCUAAGGAUUCAUUUCAUUGCAAUAUUCUAUGCAAAUAAAUGUGAAAACAUGGGUUAGAUGGAUAAUUUAAUUGAAAAAGAGAGUUUACCAGAACUGUCAGCAGAAAAGCUAUAAACCUAUACAAAUAGCUUUGAAUAAUUAAAGAAACAAACUUCCCCAAAGUAAACAUCAAGCCUGUAUGACUUCUUUUAGGAAUAAUGAAUUUUUCCAUUUUAGAAAUCCUACUCUCCACAUCAACUAAUCAGAGGAGAAGCUAUCAGCUAAAUAGCUACAUCAAAUCCAUUUGAUAAAAUAAAGCAUCCAUUCUUGGGGAGGACCAGGAAGAAACUGAUGGACAUUUUCUUCCAUUAAAAUACAAAAAACAAAAACAAAAAAAAACUGGAGGUUAAAGCAAAACAAGAUUCACAAGAAAUAUUUUCAUUAUUGUUAAGAAAAAAGAGACUCAUUAAUAGAAUAAGUUUUUCAUGGUCUCUG
rnacentral:lncRNA from 1 species